AAGUUCUAAUUUCGGGUGGGUUGAAGGCUACAUCAGCAUUCAGCAAGAAACAUUUCUCAAAAUAUUCUCCCCCUUUUGCUCUCAUAAAUCGGGUGGGGUUUCUCGUCAUAACUGAAGAAUCUGUAGGUCUUAGGCAGCGAGGAAGUGCGCCAAAGAUAACCAAGGGGAUUGACCAUAUCCACAAGAGGUAUAACCUCCGUCCUCGUCCUACUCGCAAGAAAGUGGAUUACAGUGUAUCUUAUUGCGUCGCAGAAUCUAAGAGUUAUACCUUAUAUCCUCAUGCUAAUGAUCAGAGGAAACUGCUGAGGCCUUCAGUACCAUAUGUUUCACCAGAAAUUAUCUUCAAUAUUCUUGUGUACCUUCCUGCAUACGUACUUUACAAUGUGAUGAGGUGUGUCUGUUGAGAGUGGUACAACAUCAUCUCUAGUACUACAUUUAUUGAUGCACACCUCCAAAAGGUGAAGCGGGGCAUCCUUAUGAGGCAAAGUAGUCCAGAAUACUAUAUACAUUAUCUCAAAAUGGUAAAGCAUGAUCUUCUUCAGAUCAAUGAGGUAGACUCUUCUACUUUGCCAACAUAUACAAUGUCUAGUUGUAAUGGUUUGGUAUUGAUGGCUAAAAGUGAACAGGAAAAUAGUUAUGUUGCAAAUUUAGUUACGAAGGAAGUUGUUACCAUCCCUCCUCCUUUAGCUGCAGCUGAGGCGUUUGCCUGCUUUUCAAAUAUGGGAUAUACUUGUUCCAAGAAAUAUAAACUGGUUGAGUUCUACAUUAAUCAUCAGGGGAAUUUGGAAGGUGGGAUAAUCACGCUUGGUGUUGAUAAAGAAUGGAGGUGCCUUUGUCAACUGAAUGGAACUUGGAAAUUUAAGAAAUUUGGAUGCUUAGCUUUCAAAAAGCCAAUUGCUAGUACUGAUGCAAUUUUGCAUUGGACACAUAGGGAGCUUCCAUUGAUUCUUAAUUUAGAUCUUGAAACUAAGAAUUUCUACACAUGCGCCACCCCAAAAUGUUCCGAGAUGAAACGAAGGAGGUAUUUGAGAACUGGGCAGUCACUUUGUUUUAUGGAUCCCUUGGGGAAGUUUUCAUGGGAGCUCUGGUUCUAAAAGAUUCAGAAACUGGAGAAUGGACUAAGAUGGCCAAUAUUGAUCUAGAGCAUCAUGAGCAAAUGCUCUGCCGCGGUUUAUGCUCUCCAGGAUUUCAAAUUGUGCCUGUUGGUCUCCUGGAAGAUGGGGAGAUUGUAGUCCUCUAUGUUGCACAUGAAGGUGGAAUCCCACAUGAUAGUUAUUAUAGAAAGAUGCAUCCAUCUAGAACCGUCAUUACUUAUAAUGUGAAGACAGGAGUGAUCAACAUAUUUCACUUGGACAAGGGUAGGCCUUUUCAAAUGAAUGAGACUUGGGGGUGUAUUCUGCAUGCCAAGACCUUGGUUUCUCCAAAUUUUUCAGUUAGUUAGUUGCUCUCUCUCUCUCUCUUUUGAGGUUCAAAAAGAGGGGCAAAAAAAAAAAGGAAGUUAGUUUGAGAUGGAAGAAGAGGGAAGGAAGAUUGGUUAAAAUUAGAGUAGGGAUCUUUGUUGUGAGAUGAGUCUUUCUUUCACCCUUAAUUGAUUGAUGUCAUGAUCAUGAAGGUUUAUUUAAUUUCAUUGUUAUUUAUGGUUUCACUCUUACUAUUAUGUUGUGAUCACGGGAGUAUUUCAUAUAUUUUUUUUGUUGGUAUUUAUAAUUUUUUUUUUUGGUUUUAUGGCAAAGUUGCUUCUUUCAGAAUAUUUUGCUUUACUGCUGCAUAACUUUUGUUUCUUGAUGUCAUUCCCUUCUUUUUGUUAACUAUAGAAAUUCUCUUUCUUGGCUACGUAAAUGAAAGAAGUUUCAGAGAAAAUCUGUAGUAGUAGUAGUUGUAGAAUAAGAAAAGAGAGAAGAAUUGCAGAAACGAGAGAGAUAGAGAGAGAAGUUGAGAGAAGGAAGGAGAGUGUAAUUUGCAUUCUCAAUAUCGAUGAUUACAACUGAUACACUCAAAAUCACAUUCAUGCAAUUUCGGCUGUGAAUUUCCUUCCUAAUCAGCAGUGUAACUGCUCAGGAAUGUGACUCACUGCUAACUAACUGUUUGAGAAGCCACAUCAGCAGUUAGGCAGAAUGAGCUCCAACUGUGAUGAUUAUGAUCAGAUGAUCAUAACAGACCUGUUUGUAGAGAGGCUGUUUUGUCGUUAAAAAAAAAAUUUUUUUUUUAGGCAUUACAGUUUUGAUCCGCUGCAUGGACUUGCAAAAGCUGUGGGAACCAUGUUACAACUGGCUUCCAAGAAGUUUAUUUUUACUUCAGGGUAUGAUAAAAUAGUGUGGAUAUGGAAUAAGGAAGAAGGGUUGUGUAUUGCAUACUCUUGCCCUCUUGGCUGCUAAAUUCAUGCUCUUGCUGCUGAUACAAGGCUCUUUGUAGCUGGGGGUACAGAUGGAUUUAUACAUAGAUGGAGGGCAGAGGAUGGAAAUUCUUGUUUGACCUGAAGGCUCAAAGCCAAAACUUUGGAAAGCUGUCGUUGGUUGGGACCAUAAAGGGCCAAUUAUGUGUCUUGCGUCAGAUGUAUUGCUUUUGGGGCUACCAUAUACUAUCCUUGAGGGAAAUAAAUCUGCGUCAAUUUGCUGGGGCAAACUCUGAGGCUACUUCUGUUACCCAUCAGAUCACCACUAUUGUGUGCCAAGUUGUUGCAGGUUGGAGACAAAAAUGAAGAGGAACUGGGGAGCUUACCACAACAUGGAAUUUUGAUAAACAAAUUUUCUGUUCUUGUUAAGGAGCUUGUAGAGAGAUAGUUGGCUAGUUUUUUUGUACAGAUAGGUGUUACACUAUUCGUGCUGUCCAGAUUGGUUCUGUUAGACAUCAUUCCCUGCUUAUUCAAUGAAAGGGUCAUAUUUGCCUAAAA